UUUUGGCCAAUAACUUAUAUUUAUACACUUAUUACAGCGUAGUAGCCGUGGUGCUCGUGCGAUGUUUGCCAUGCGCAACUUCAUAGGGUUGGCAGACGAUCUUCGUCGUAUGUUAUUGGCGGCAGACUAUUAUUUUUCUCUUUGCUGCUGUAAAAAUAAGCAUUUUAACGAUGAAUUUACAUUUUUCAAUAAUUGCAUCUUCAGGAAUCGUCAGAGAGUUGUCACAAACCAAAUUAAGUGUGUGUGCAAAACAAGGGAUCUUAACAUCGAUUUUGGUACUCGGUAACUCUGUGUUCAGUAAUUUUUCCCCAUGUAUUUUGUUUGUGUAAAAUCAUAUUAUCAUCGGUUUACCGUUUUCAGGUAGUUGGUAAACUGCAAUCAGCUGUUCGAAAUUUAUUAAAUUUUAAAUCAGCUCGCUGCCGAAAGGCAUAACGCAACGCAUAUGAGAGUCAAACGCAUAAGUAUUGUUUGAUAGUAAAAAGCGCAUUACACUAUAUCAUAUGGAAUAAAUCCAUAGUAAUUGUAUAAACUCAACAUCAGCGACGGGGGAACUUCAACCUAUCAGUAGGUGUUACUGGAGAAUUGAAAGGAAAAAAAUCAGAACAUAAAAUCAUUAAUGGAAAAAAUUAAUAUACAUUGGAAGAUACAUGUUAUUAUGUUAUCUUAUAAAUACCCAUGCGCAUAAUAUUACGCUUACUUCGUUCAUAAGAAAAUAAAAAUAAAAAUAAUGUUACUCAUACAUUUUAGAAAUCAAUCACAUAAUACGAGUUCUAAAACAGCAUUAGAAUUAAUAGCUAAGGAUACUAUUGAAGGUGUUUAUUUAUUAUUUAAAAUUGCCAUAAGAAUACAAAUUGUUUAUAAUUGGUUGCAUAAAUUCAUAUUUGUAUUUAUUUGGUAAGUUAUAUUUAUAAAAUAAUUCAUUCCAUUACCAAUAGAAAAUUUUUUUAUUAUAUGUAUGCAUGAAGCCAAAUAAUUAACUGUUUAAGCAUAAGAAUGUGCCGUCCAAGUAUUUUAUUUCAAUGUUUAACUAUUUAUUCUGCUUUAAUCAUCAUUAUGUUACACUUAUACAUACAAAUACAUGUAUAAAAAUCUAUUGAAUUUCUCAGCUGAAUAGUUAUAACACAUAAGUCGCUAACGAUUUAAGCUUCUGCAGAGUUUUGUAAGCUUUUAGGAUGUGAAACUAACCUUAAAUAUACUCAUAUUUCUUAAAAGUAAUGACAACAGUUUUCACUCCCAUUUAAAUGUACAAACUGUUAAGAUGCAUAAGGCUUAAGUUUAAUAAUUAUUUGAAAAUUUAAUUGAUGUAUCCUGAUAGUUACCCAACCAAAUAUAUCGCAAUAUUUUCCAAUUUCGUUCACGAAAAUAUGUGAAAACACCAAAUGAAUUAUAACUUGUACAAUUUAUACACUAUAAAUAAACAAAAAAAA